UCCCAUUUCAUCUUUGUGAAAUGUUGUUAUACUACCAACUCUUGAUUUCUGACUAGAGAAUUAUAUAUAUUUGUGUAUAUAUGUCAAGGUUUUACUUUUUAAAGACAGAGAUUGUUGGAAGCAAUACACAAAAUAUAAUCUUAGUAUUGAACAAAACACUGGAAGAAAAGAAAAAAAAAUCAAAGAAAAUGAACAAAGAACUGGUAUUGCUUUACGUGGAAACUGUAAUCCUUUCAGGUAAGGUAAUUAUAACAAAAAAGAGGAUGGAUUUUUGUUUUUUUGAGACGGAGUUUUGCUCUUGUAGUCCAGGCUGGAGUGCAGUGGUACAAUCUCUGCUCACUGCAACCUCUACCUCCUGGAUUCAAGCGAUUCUCCUGCUUCAGCCUCCCAGGUAGCUGGGAUUACAGGUGUGUGCAACCAUGCCCAGCAAAUUUUUAUAUUUUUAGUAGAGAUGGGUUUUCACCUUGUUGGCCAGGCUGGUCUCAAACUCCUGACCUCAGGUGAUCCAGGCACCUCGGCCUCCCAAAGUGCUGGGAUUACAGGCGUGAGUCACCUUGCCCAGCAAAUUUUUUUUUUUAAAGGCAACUUGGCUGGUCAUGGUGCCUCAUACCUGUAAUCUCAGCACUUUGGGAGGCUGAGGCAGGAGGAUCGUUUGAGCCCAGGAGUUUGAGACCAGCCUAGGCAAUAAGUGAAAGAGGCCUCAUCUCUACCAAAAAUGAAAGAAAUUAGCUGGGUAUGGUGGUACACAGCAGUAGUUGCAACCACUUGGGAGGCUGAGGAUGAGGCCGGAGGAUCCCUUGAGCUGGGUACAUAGAGGCUGCUGCAGUGAGUUAUGAUCACAUCACUGCAUUCCAGCCUGGGUGACAGAGCCAGACCCUGUCUCAAAGAAAAAAGAAAAAGGAAAAAAAGGACAACGUAAGCCAUUAAGGAGUAUGUACAUUUUCAUCAGUCAGCCUGAUACGUAUGCUUAAAAUGUACAAGAUGUGCAAGGCACCUUUUGGGAAGAUAAGUUUUAUGAAAGGACAGUCUUUGUCCUGAAGUAGUUUUCUUUUUUCUUCUUUUUUUUUUUGUUUUGUUUUUGAGACAAUGUCUCACUCUGUUGCCCAGGCUAGAGUGCAGUGGUACCAUCUCUGCUCACUGCAACAUCCUUCUCCUGAGUUCAAGUGAUUCUCCUGCCAUAGUGUCUCAAGUAGCUGGGACUACAGCGCUUCAUGUUGCAAUCCUUGAGUGAAGCUGAAGGAGAAAAAUGAUUGCAAAUUGUACUGGUGCUGUAAUUAAAAGGGAUUUGUCCUUUGCAAAACCUUAAAUGAUAAUACAUGAAGGCAUUCUAACCAGCCAACAUUAAAGAAACCAUAUUUCUAGCAAAGGUAAAAUCUGUUAGUAAGUAGGAAUGCGUGAAUUCAAACCUUAGCAUUUGUGCAGUUUGUGUCUGAUGGCAAAGUUAAUGCCCUGUUCCAAAGUGAUGGAUUUUAAUCAUGAAAUCUCUAAUAAUUCAAAUGUUUUAAUUACUUUGGUUCUUAAAUUGUCCAUAUAUGGUUUAAACCAGAGUUGAACGAACUAGCCCGUGGAUCAAAUCUGUUUUUGUAUGCAUGAGAAUUGUUUUUAUAUUUUAAAAUGGUUAAGAGGCUGGAUGCAGUGGCUCACGCCUGUAAUCCCAACACUUUGGGAGGCUGAGGUGGGCUGAUCACUUGAGCCCAGGAAUUCAAGACCAGCCUGGGCAACAUCUUAAAACCUCAUCUCUACA